rnacentral:lncRNA from 1 species
GCUCUGUCCCAGGUUUUCGUUCGAGUUACUGACACUUGCAUCUCCUACAGCAACUGAUUCUGAAAUUACAGAGUUCUUUCCAACAGAUGUUUCCAAUACACUGCUCUCUCUGACAAAACUGUCAUCCAAAUUUUCUUGCUGUUUCAAAUCCUCCGUUACAUAUACUGGUUGGCUUGCAGCUUCUGUUUUUUUGCCUGUGUUGUUCUUCAAC